rnacentral:rRNA from 1 species
GACGAACGCUGGCGGCGUGCUUAACACAUGCAAGUCGAACGGAAAGGCCUGCUUUCCCUUGUGGAUUGCGGGUACUCGAGUGGCGAACGGGUGAGUAACACGUGAGUGAUCUGCCCCCAACUUGGGUAUAAGCCUGGGAAACUGGGUCUAAUUCCCGAUAGGACUGCAGGGUGGUGCCUGUGGUGGAAAACGAUUUUCUAGUGGUUGGGGAUGAGCUCGCGGCCUAUCAGCUUGUUGGUGGGGUAAUGGCCUACCAAGGCGGCGACGGGUAGCCGGCCUGAGAGGGUGGACGGCCACAUUGGGACUGAGAUACGGCCCAGACUCCUACGGGAGGCAGCAGUGGGGAAUAUUGCACAAUGGGCGGAAGCCUGAGGCAGCGACGCCGCGUGGGGGAUGACGGCCUUCGGGUGGUAAACUCCUUUCGACCGCGAGGAAGCCACCUGGUUGGAAGGGUGGUGACGGUAGUGGUAGAAGAAGCACCGGCUAACUACGUG